AUUGAACGCUGGCGGCAGGCCUUACACAUGCAAGUCGAGCGGUAGCGGGGCUUUUGGUGCUGACUUGAGGCGCAGAGGGGAGUAAUACACCUAAAAAUCUGCGUUGGAGGGGGGGAUAGCGGCCGGAGACGUGCGCUUAUACCGCACGCGCCAUGAGGGAGAGAGGGGGGGAGCUUGGGACCUCGCGCUAUCAGCGGAGGCUAGGUCGGAUUAGGUAGUUGGUGGGGUAAAGGCCUACCAAGGCGACGAUCCGUAGCUGGUCUGAGAGGAUGAUCAGCCACACUGGAACUGAGACACGGCCCAGACUCCUACGGGAGGCAGCAGUGGGGAAUAUUGGACAAUGGGCGCAAGCCUGAUCCAGCCAUGCCGCGUGUGUGAAGAAGGUCUUCGGAUUGUAAAGCACUUUUGGUCGGGAGGAAGAGCAGUAUGUUAAUACCGUGCUGUCUUGACGGUACCGAAAGAAUAAGCACCGGCUAACUACGUG
rnacentral:rRNA from 1 species